CUGAGUACUACACUCUCUACCCUUUGCGAACUAUUAUACCUGUUGCUUCGGCGGCGCCCGCGAGGGUGCCCGCCGGUCUCAUCAGAAUCUCUGUUUUCGAACCCGACGAUACUUCUGAGUGUUCUUAGCGAACUGUCA
rnacentral:misc_RNA from 1 species